rnacentral:rRNA from 1 species
AUUGAACGCUGGCGGCAUGCCUUACACAUGCAAGUCGAACGGCAGCACGGGGCAACCUGGUGGCGAGUGCCGAACGGGUGAGUAAUGCAUCGGAACGUACUUUUCAGUGGGGGAUAACGUAGCGAAAGUUACGCGAAUACCGCAUAUUCUCUGAGCAGGAAAGCAGGGGAUCGCCAGACCUUGCGCUGAUGGAGCGGCCGAUGUCAGAUUAGCGAGGUGGUGAGGUAAAGGCUCACCAAGGCGACAAUCUGUAGCCGGUCUGAGAGGAUGAACGGCCACACUGGGACUGAGACACGGCCCAGACUCCGACGGGAGGCAGCAGUGGGGAAUUUGGGACAAUGGGGCAACCCUGAUCCAGCCAUGCCGCGUGAGUGAAGAAGGCCUUCGGGUUGUAAAGCUCUUUCGGCCGGGAAGAAAUCGCACGGGCUAAUACCCUGUGUGGAUGACGGUACCGGAAUAAGAAGCACCGGCUAACUACGUGCCAGCAGCCGCCGUAAAAC